GUCUAUGCUCCACAGUUGGAAGAAACAAUUGAUGUAACUUCAGAUUUGUGUGCUUAUAAGGUCCAACUUUCUGAGAAGUUAAUGAGCCAAGUGCUUUUUAAGAAGCUUGGAGACUAUGAAAUAGCAUGGGUUGAUGCUGAAGUGGGGAAGACGGAAAACGACAUGUUCUCUUUACUUCCUCUUUCCGGACCUUCUCCACCCCAUAAAACAGUUCUUGUUGGAGAUUUAAAAAUGUCUGAUUUCAAGCAGUUUCUUGCAAGCAAGGGCGUUCAGGUAGAAUUUGGUGGUGGGGCUUUACGUUGUGGGGAGUAUGUCACCAUUCGCAAAGUUGGAGAUGCUAGUCAAAAGGUUGGAGGUGCAGCUAUUCAGCAGAUUGUGCUUGAAGGUCCAUUAUCGGAAGAGUACUAUAAAAUUCGAGAGUACCUAUAUUCACAUUUUUACUCCCUCUAAAUAUGAAGAGCAGAGUAACUUUUUGUACUUGUAACAAAUGCAGCUUUCCUUUUUGUCUCUUUUUUCUCUUCUCUUGAAUCUUGACUGGCUGUUUUUCUAGUAAUUUGUAACUUAUUGUCU
rnacentral:misc_RNA from 1 species